rnacentral:rRNA from 1 species
AUUGAACGCUGGCGGCAGGCUUAACACAUGCAAGUCGAGCGGGGUGAUGGUGCUUGCACUAUCACUUAGCGGCGGACGGGUGAGUAAUGCUUAGGAAUCUGCCUAUUAGUGGGGGACAACAUCUCGAAAGGGAUGCUAAUACCGCAUACGUCCUACGGGAGAAAGCAGGGGAUCACUUGUGACCUUGCGCUAAUAGAUGGGCCUAAGUCGGAUUAGCUAGUUGGUGGGGUAAAGGCCUACCAAGGCGACGAUCUGUAGCGGGUCUGAGAGGAUGAUCCGCCACACUGGGACUGAGACACGGCCCAGACUCCUACGGGAGGCAGCAGUGGGGAAUAUUGGACAAUGGGGGGAACCCUGAUCCAGCCAUGCCGCGUGUGUGAAGAAGGCCUUAUGGUUGUAAAGCACUUUAAGCGAGGAGGAGGCCCUUUUGGUUAAUACCCAAGAUGAGUGGACGUUACUCGCAGAAUAAGCACCGGCUAACUCUGUGCCAGCCGCCGCAGUAA